rfam:Oryza sativa Japonica Group DNA, chromosome 10, cultivar: Nipponbare, complete sequence.
UUUAAGUGCAGCUAUGGUUUCGAUGCCCAACGUUUGAUCAUCCAUCUUAUUUGAAUUAUUUUUGCAAUUAGUAUUUUUAUUGUUAUCAGAUGAUAAAAUAUGAAUAAUAUUUUUGUAACUUAUUUUUUUAUUUUUUAAAUAAGAUGGACAGUUAAAUAUUGAACCCAGAAACAUACAAAUGCACUUGAA